UACGUAGGGUGCAAGCGUUAAUCGGAAUUACUGGGCGUAAAGCGUGCGCAGGCGGUUUUGUAAGUCUGUCGUGAAAGCCCCGGGCUCAACCUGGGAAUUGCGAUGGAGACUGCAAGGCUUGAAUCUGGCAGAGGGGGGUAGAAUUCCACGUGUAGCAGUGAAAUGCGUAGAGAUGUGGAGGAACACCGAUGGCGGAAGGCAGCCCCCUGGGCUAACACUGACGCUCAUGCACGAAAGCGUGGGGAGCAAACAGG
rnacentral:rRNA from 1 species